GAGGGUAUAGCUCAGUGGUAGAGUGUGUGCUUAGCCUGCACGAGGUCCUGGGUUCAAUCCCCAGUGUCUCCA
rnacentral:tRNA from 1 species